UUAAAUUUUUUUUUGUGAAUUUAGUAAUUUGCUGUCCUUUCUGUUUAAUAUGCUGUGAAAUUGUAGUUACAGAUGCAGCUGUAGAGUUUAAGCUAGCCUUAUGGGUAAUUACCAGCGUAGUUGUCUUACUGAGGCAGUGUAUCCUAAUCAUGUUUUUUAGGGUAAUGGUGCAGUUGAGUCAACAGUAAGAAAUCUGGUGUCUUUGCUGCUUAACAACAUGUCCACAAAUCCUUCAGGGAGGCCAACAGAGAGUGGGCAGCCGGAGCCUAGAAAUCUGACUAUCCAGCAAGAGAUGACAUGAUCAUUUCCAGGAUAUUUCAAAUCACACUUGAGCCGUGGUAAAAA